CACUAGGAUCCAGAUCGGCUUAAGGCCGUCGGGACCCGUAGCAAGCCGACUAUACUCUCUGUGUACCUGAGAAAUCCCAUACAUGAUCAAAGAUACUCAACAAUCCUGUAAAACUCUCCAGGCUUAACUACUGCUACUCAAAUAUACCAAUCUGAAAUGGCCCUCAGGGCCUAUACCAGUGACUACUAUCUGCUGUGGGUCAAGGGCUUGAAACCC
rnacentral:lncRNA from 1 species